CCGCCCGUCACACCACGAAAGCCCAUUGUACCAGAAGUCAUUGACGCUAACCUGCAAGGGAGGCGAAGUGCCCAAGGUAUGAUUGGUGAUUGGGGUG
rnacentral:rRNA from 1 species